AUUGAACGCUGGCGGCAGGCUUAACACAUGCAAGUCGAGCGGGGUGAUGGUGCUUGCACUAUCACUUAGCGGCGGACGGGUGAGUAAUGCUUAGGAAUCUGCCUAUUAGUGGGGGACAACAUCACGAAAGGGAUGCUGAUACCGCAUACGUACUACGGGAUAAAGCAGGGGAUCACUUGUGACCUUGCGCUAAUAGAUGAGCCUAGGUCGGAUUAGCUAGUUGGUGGGGUAAAGGCCUACCAAGGCGACGAGCUGUAGCGGGGCUGAGACGAUGCUCCGCCACACUGGGACUGAGACACGGCCCAGACUCCUACGGGAGGCAGCAGUGGGGAAUAUUGGACAAUGGGGGGAACCCUGAUCCAGCCAUGCCGCGUGUGUGAAGAAGGCCUUAUGGUUGUAAAGCACUUUAAGCGAGGAGGAGGCUCUUUUGGUUAAUACCCAAGAUGAGUGGACGUUACUCGCAGAAUAAGCACCGGCUAACUCUGUGCCAGCCGCCGCAGUAAAAC
rnacentral:rRNA from 1 species